UACGAAAGGGGCUAGCGUUGUUCGGAAUUACUGGGCGUAAAGCGCACGUAGGCGGCCUUGUAGGAUGGGGGUGAAAUCCCCGGGCGCAACCCGGGAACUGCCUUCAUGACUGCAAAGCUCGAGGAUGUGAGAGGUUAGCGGAGUUCCGAGUGUAGAGGUGAAAUUCGUAGAUAUUCGGAAGAACACCAGUGGCGAAGGCGGCCAACUGGCACAUUUCUGACGCUGAGGUGCGAAAGCGUGGGGAGCAAACAGG
rnacentral:rRNA from 1 species